UCGAUUUGAACCCAAGGCUGUCGCUGGCUCUCUCGGGAGCAUUGUGCACGUCUUGUCUUCUAUCCAUCUCACACCUGUGCACUCCCGUAGACCCUGACAGUUGCUUUAAUGCAGCUCGAUGGGACUGCGUUUUUUAUUAUUCACGAAAGUCCAUGAAUGUCAUUUUAUAUGUUGUUCCUUCCUUAUGGGUUGGUCAACGAUAAUAAUAAAUA
rnacentral:misc_RNA from 1 species